rnacentral:rRNA from 1 species
CUCCGAGAACUGAAAGGCUUUUUGAAGUCUUCGGAUGGAUAGAAGAACCCCUGAUGCCGUCGAGCCAAGAAAAGUUUCUAAGUUUAGCUAAUGUUGCCCGUACCGUAAACCGACACAGGUGGGUGGGAUGAGUAUUCUAAGGCGCGUGGAAGAACUCUCUUUAAGGAACUCUGCAAAAUAGCACCGUAUCUUCGGUAUAAGGUGUGGUUAGCUUCGUACUAGGAUUUACUCCGAAAGCGAAGAAACUUACAACAAAGAGUCCCUCCCGACUGUUUACCAAAAACACAGCACUCUGCUAACUCGUAAGAGGAUGUAUAGGGUGUGACGCCUGCCCGGUGCUCGAAGGUUAAUUGAUGGGGUUAGCAUUAGCGAAGCUCUUGAUCGAAGCCCGAGUAAACGGCGGCCGUAACUAUAACGGUCCUAAGGUAGCGAAAUUCCUUGUCGGUUAAAUACCGACCUGCAUGAAUGGCGUAACGAGAUGGGAGCUGUCUCAAAGAGGGAUCCAGUGAAAUUGUAGUGGAGGUGAAAAUUCCUCCUACCCGCGGCAAGACGGAGAGACCCCGUGGACCUUUACUACAGCUUGACACUGCUAUUUGGAUAAGAAUGUGCAGGAUAGGUGGGAGGCUUUGAGUAUAUGACGCCAGUUGUAUAUGAGCCAUUGUUGAGAUACCACUCUUUCUUAUUUGGGUAGCUAACCAGCUUGAGUUAUCCUCAAGUGGGACAAUGUCUGGUGGGUAGUUUGACUGGGGCGGUCGCCUCCCAAAUAAUAACGGAGGCUUACAAAGGUUGGCUCAGAACGGUUGGAAAUCGUUCGUAGAGUAUAAAGGUAUAAGCCAGCUUAACUGCAAGACAUACAAGUCAAGCAGAGACGAAAGUCGGUCUUAGUGAUCCGGUGGUUCUGUGUGGAAGGGCCAUCGCUCAAAGGAUAAAAGGUACCCCGGGGAUAACAGGCUGAUCUCCCCCAAGAGCUCACAUCGACGGGGAGGUUUGGCACCUCGAUGUCGGCUCAUCGCAUCCUGGGGCUGGAGCAGGUCCCAAGGGUAUGGCUGUUCGCCAUUUAAAGCGGUACGCGAGCUGGGUUCAGAACGUCGUGAGACAGUUCGGUCCCUAUCUGCCGUGGGCGUAAGAAGAUUGAAGAGAUUUGACCCUAGUACGAGAGGACCGGGUUGAACAAACCACUGGUGUAGCUGUUGUUCUGCCAAGAGCAUCGCAGCGUAGCUAAGUUUGGAAAGGAUAAACGCUGAAAGCAUCUAAGCGUGAAGCCAACUCUAAGAUGAAUCUUCUCUAAGCUCUCUAGAAGACUACUAGUUUGAUAGGCUGGGUGUGUAAUGGAUGAAAGUCCUUUAGCUGACCAGUACUAAUAGAGCGUUUGGCUUAUCUUUAAUAAAGCAU